UGUGAACACUGGACUCAGAACGUGAUGGUCCAGAUCUGAGUACUACCUCUGUUUGGUGUCUAGCUUGUGACCUUGGAUAAAGUACAUGCAUAAUUUUCAUCCAGCGAAUUACAUAUUUGCAACAUCACUGGCAUCAGCAAGAGUAUCCCACCUACAAUUACCCUCCAGGUUCCGGUAGCACUUUGGAAGGGAGCCAGUACACUGUCUGUCCUUGAUGUCAUCUGCUUUUAUUUCAACAUGUCGGGUCCUGGCACUGGUCUUCUAGACAUAAGCUUUCUGAUGACCAAUGGUAUGGACCAAGUGCAGAAUUCCCCUUAAGAUGAUUGGGUACAAGCUGUGGCAUGCAAGAUUACAGAUACUCCUGGACAGAUCUCCUGUUCUUCCUUCAUAGAUGAUCCUGGACCCAUUUCUGGAAGUUCUUGGAAGGGCCACCCCAGAGCAAUUUCUGGAGGGAGUUUGUGGCGCCAUCUUGAAACCCAAAGAUUUCUCCAAAUGUUGGAAAUGCUGAGGAUUCAAAAUGAAGUUUAGCUGCUAGAUAUGGUGUGAUCUCAUCAGAGAACAGUGGCCUUGUCGCCUUCCUCCUUCUGAACACUAGGCUUUAAUGAAUACAGUCUGAAAUCUGCAAGGCAAUCAGAGUGUGGGCUGGGAGGUGAGAGAGUAAAAGGGCAAAGACUCUUUGUUUCCACUGUGUGACUGGCACAUAGGAGUUGUUGACUGAAUUCUCAUAGACUGACUUGUGCUGCAAUGAAUAUCGAGCCAGUUUUGGAGUCAGGAGUCAACACCCCUCCUGGGAUGAUUCGCCCA
rnacentral:lncRNA from 1 species